GCAACCCUGCACAUAGCAGAGGGGUUGAAUCUAGAUGAUCUUUGAUGUCCUUUUCAACCCAGGCCAUUUUAUGAUUCUAUGAUUCUGUGAUUCUAUGAUGAAAUAUUUUAUAAAUAAUAUCAGUACAGUGGACAAUGUUCUGCUUUCACUCUGAUUUAAAGUUCAUAGCAGUAGUGUAUUGUUGCCAUAAAUCAACAGAAUGGAACAAAUGUCAUAAUUUUCCUUAUACAGGUGACUUCUCUUCAUCUUUUACUAAUAUCAUUGAGGUAUCUUAACUGAAAGAAUAGAAAAGUAAUAUUUUCAGAGCCAGGUUUUAAUUCAGCAGCUCCCUCAAAGGAAUGCAAUUUCAAGGUAAUAUAUUAUUACAGAAGUUACUACUGAAAGCAUAUUUUCACUUUUUUUAUUUCUUCCUUUAGAGCUGCAUUUUAACUCUAUGAAAAUCUACAUAAAGUUAUAUUUCAGUUUAGUAAUUCUGCAAUAACAGAAUGUGGUUGAAAGUACUGGAGUAUGUAGAUUAGUGUCAAAGUUUUCCAGGCAGCUCACAAAUAUGUAGUUCAUCCACAAUAUUUUUCCAAAAGAACAAGGAAAUACGAAAAUAAAUUUAGUGAAGGAUGAACGGAAUGAUCUUUUAGAAAAAAACAUUACAUUAAAGGUGACUAAGAUAAAUAGUGUCCGAAACAGUAUUUUCAUCUGCAGGGAAUUGCCAUAUUUCACAAGACAAAAGGAACCAAACACAACAGGCAAAGAAGGCAGCAGAUACUCCAGGCUGCUGACAGCUCCUCACUAAUGAAGGACAAGGGGACCGGAGUAGUAGUAAUAUGUUCCAUCAAAUGCCAGUAUCUGGAAACUUGUGGCAUAAUUCUUGCACAAAUCACAGGGAAGAAAACUGGAAAGAGAGGGUAACAGAUGUAACAUUCUGUUAACAUUUAUCCUCUAUUCUUUAGAUGACUUAGUCAGAAAAAAGACUGUUUGCUGUCAAAGAAAGCUCUCAACUGUGACAGCUAUGAUUUCUCAGACUCUAGAAGAUUCACCUUCCAAGCUGUCUACCGUAUUUCAAGUCUGACACCUCCUGUGGGACACAGUGUCCCACAACCCAUUUUUCUCAUUAUAACCACUCUGAAGCCAACUUUAUGUGAGGAACCAGAUACAUUCUGUACGAAUAGCAAGAAACUGUUAAUCUCACUUCCACAAAAAAUGUUAAGUCCAAACACCAAAGAAAAAGAAAUACAUGUAUGAAUACAUUUCUGCUACCAUCUUGCCAAGUAAGUAUAUAGGGAUUUUUAUUUGAAAUAGGUAUACAUAUAUUAUGUACCUUCAGAACUAGUUUUCCACUUUCAGAAACUAUUAUCAUUCUCUCUCUUCUGAAGAAUUAAAAAAGAUGUCUCCUAUUCUUAGAUUUCUUAUUGUGAGAUAUAUAUAUUGUACUGAGAAACGGGCAAUAGAAAGGUAUAUUUUAGUGAAUUUUUAUGGACUGGAAGGAAAUAACAAAAAGUACUCAGCAUAUUGCUUGAAUGACAAAGUGCUGCAUGAAUCCAUUCCAUGUUACCAGUUAACAAAUCUAAUCAAGAUUAUAAUAAAAAAGGAUGAAUACUCAUAGAUCUCGUAGAUCUCACAAGGUUUUAUUUUUUGUUCGGUACACAUUUUAUGCAAAUUCUACUUUUUUCAGGGCAACCAGAUAGAAAAAUGUCUUACAAACAAAUCUCCCUUCACGAUAUAUUUAACUUUUGGUUCUAGUGCAAUCUUAGAUGUUUGUGUUGGGAUAAUAAUAUUAUUUUGAACCAGACAGCAUGUCUUCUAGGCGCUCUGGAAGCAGAAACACUUCUAGACUAGUACUUUACUUUAAAAAAAAUCUGUAAUUUGUUUACAAGAGACUAAGCCAUAUCAUUGGCCUUUGAGCAUUAACAUGAACAACAAUCAGAUAAAUUGAUUGACCUAUGUGAAAAUUGUUCUUAUUUUACAGUGGCAUACUAAAUGAAAGAGCAGUGUAAUUCUGACAGGGAUAUGGACUCUGACUUUAAAGUACAAGUAAAUCACUUGUAUCUGAGCAUUAGGGAGAAGAAGGACUGCCUUGCCAGGGGAACAAGGUACUUACUGAUGGGAACUCCACUGCAUUCUAUGCUUUCAUGGGUAGUCACCAUCCCAUAGGGCAUGAGAAUAGUGGAGGUAAAGCUGGAGGCUGGUAAGGAGGUACAUCAGCAGCCCUAAAGUAAAGGAACAUAACAAGGAAGAAAGCCUAGGCAGAAGGGAAAGGAUAGAUGACUUUUUUCUAUAUUGAUUCCAGAUUCAUCCAGAAACAAGAGUGCAGAUAAACAUCUACAUGUCUACAAGACAAUCCAAACAUAAUCAAGAAUAUAUAAGUAUGUGAAAUCCUGAUGAUGCAAGAUGAGUGAUAUCUGUCUCACAGUAUUGUAGUCAUGGAUAAUAGAAAGAAAUUUGACAGAACUCAAAUUGCCUGGAAAUUCUGGUGGAGAAAUUGACUAUCAAAUUUCAGUAAAAGGAACUGAUAGAAAUCUUUCUGCCUGUCUGUCUGCAAUUGUUACUUUUUUUUUUUAAUAUGUGAGUUACAUUCUUCCUAUUAAACAUUCUGCUGCAUCCAGUCAAAUUAAAUAAAUUAUAAAAGCCCUCUGAACAGCCCAGAUAAGGAAAUACUCUGCCAUCAAGCUUCCUGAAAAGGUAAAUUAGAGUAGGUGGAAGGACUGCAAUUCCAAAUCAUCUCUCUUCAUUUUCUAUUAAAACACAAUUCACAAAAUCCAAUUAAUUUUAAACUAAGAGAGGACAAUGCAGAAAUCUGAUCUUUGAGGUCCUGUACAGAGUUGUUUUUUUUUUUUUUUUUUUUUUUUUUGAGGAUAUUGUAUUCACUGUAAAACUUAUGUCUACAUUCCUUUUGCAAGUGAGUCAGAGAUAUGAUGUGAUUUCCCUAGCUGUGGCAAGACCCUCUUGUGAGGCAUCUUUGUAUAUUCGUAAUACUUUGCAUGCAUGUGUUUGAGUGCAUGGAAACGUAGAAAUUCUGACAAGAAGAUGACCAGAGUUGAUAUCAUGUGUGACAACAUAAUUUGUGGGUCUCUACAUUGCUGAAAAUCCUUGAGGAAGUUUUCAAAGAGAUUACAGAAUUUGAAAAUAGAUCACUGGAGAAAAAUAAAUAAGAGUUUAGUGCAGAGUUAGCAGAGUAGCUAACUCAUACAGACAUAUGGUAGCCUUGAGAAAAGUUUUCGGUACAAAAACUGUGGAUCAGCAUGUUUGAAGAGACUAGUUACCUGAGUAUCUGGCAUAUAGGUAGUGUAAAUACUACUAGGAUAAAUCUCCAAAGAGGUUUACUCUGAAGAGUCAAGAUUACUCUGGGUAACUUUUAAAACAGAAGAAAGCCUAAUUUUGUCUGCUCCUAUGAUCAGAAAUUUAGGUUAGGGUAGGUUAGUUAGUAUAUUUCUUUUAGUUAAACAUAUAAGCUUAAGGCUGUUCCAGUUUUCAACACAGAACAUAGCUUUCAUUUGUGAUGCAUUCUCAUGAGCAUAAACAUACACAAAUUUUCCUCAUUGAAAGUGAAACCUGCCUCUCUGUUGGUGAUUUGUAUUCUCCUCUAAUUAAAGUACUGAAACAGAAAACCUUUUAUUAUUGGCAGUUUUAGAUUAGUCUGCAUAUGGACUUUGCCUAAUGUCUUCUGUAAUUUUGUAGUCCAAAAUGCUGGUUCUGUUUUAUUUAAAAUUUCAAACCACCCUCUGUUCUAGUCUCAUCAACACUCGCACUUCUAAGAAUGGAGGCAAGAAAUCUGUCGAAAACUGAAGACAGACAGAUACUGUUAGCAGAACAUAUCUUUUAGGAAAUUUGAGUUGGCUGGUAAAGGGAAAACGUGAAUCAUCUCAGUCAUCAGCCCCCUGUUAAAACUGAGACAAGACUCUUAAAUGGGGCUCAUUAAAGUACAAAUAACAAUUUUCAUGGGAGUUAUAUUUAUCGUGAUGUACAACAGUUAACUGAUACACUGAAACCUGUAAGAAAUAUGUCAAAUACAGCACUAAUGUUGUUGUUUUUUUUUUUUUUUCCUUAAAUCUUGUAAUGUGCAAAACAUUUAUUCCUUCAAGUACACUGUAUUUAUGGGCUUUACUGUUACCAAGAUAUUUGCUAUUAACCAGUUGAAAUUCCAACUCUGCUUGCUUCAAUCUGAUAGAAACAUACUUGUAAAUAGUCAUUCUUGAUUCAAAGGAAAUGCAGAUGAGAGAUUUUGAAAGGAGGGUUUGGCCAAUAGGCCUAAAAGGAUGAGUUUUACUAUUUCUUUUUUUUUUUAAAAUAGAACUAGCAGUUAGGGAUAAUAUUUUUCAAAGUUUGCUGGUGGAUAUAUCUCAGGCUCUGUUUUGUCAGCUUGUAUUAAAUAUACCCUUUCUCUUUUGAAUAUCCUUUAUAUGAAAAAGGUCUAAUAUUUUAGUCUGGUCUGCGUCACUUUUAAGAGAGAGAGGGGUUUGCUAUAUAUAACUAUCCAGCAUUUCUCUUUCCCCUGUAAUUAAUACAGUUAGAGACCCUUAACUUAUUCUGUAACGUACUGACAUGGGCUAACACAUAAGCCUCUACAGUUCAGAGUAGCCAAUUAUACCUGCUGACUGUCAGCUGGUAGCCAUGGUAUCUGCCAGCUUUGCUGGUUGUUCUCACAGCAAUCUCAGAGCUUAAAUAAGCUCAGAUACUGCCUCAGCUAGUUCAAAAUUCAUACAGUACUGACUUUUGCAGGGGGAUCACACUACCACUCAUUAGGGACUGAAGAACAAGGCUGUGGAGCCCAGAGGGCUUUGUGCUAUGCCAAGUAGCUUUCACAGAAACAGGAGGGAUGCAUCUUUCUUAAGCUCACACAGAUAACUCAGGUAAAAUUCACAAAAUUCCAGAGCUCCUAUUUAUUCAGUUACUGUUCAUCUAAAUCUGGUACUAAGUUGUGUCUGAUUAUCCUGUGAAAACUGUCUGCCAACACUUUAUGCUGAAGUUAAGAUACCACUUCUGCCUUUUUGCUAUGGGUCCCAUUUCUUCUGAGAUUUUGGAUUUAUAAUAUUAGUCACUGGAUUUACACAAGUAAGCAUAAUUGUCCAAGCAUUCUCUGACAUGUGAAUGUUAUUUUUUAAUGUGUUUGUAAUUAAUAAAUAUAUAUCAUAGAAUCAUAGAAUUUUUUGAGUUGGAAGGGACCUUUAAAUAUCAUCUAGUCCAACUCCCCUGGAAUGAGCAGGGACAUUUGCAGCUAGAUCAGGUUACUCACAUCUCAGUCCGGCCUGACUUUGAAUGUCUCCAGAGAUGGGGCAUCCGCCACUUCCCUAGGCAACCUGUUCUAGUGCUUCACAGCCCUUAAGUCACCUUGAAGAGGAAGGUACCUCCAUCCUCAUUCUCAAAUAAAUUAUUAGAAUUAUUUAUUUUCUUAAAAAUUGCCACCUCUCUAAUCAGAUGUCUCUAUUAGAGUUUUAGAUUAUAUUCAGAUAGGACAAGAAAUUUUUUUCCUGUUUUUUCCUGUUUUUUACUUUUUUUUUAACUACAUAUUUUAGUGCUUUAUAUAUUGGCAUUCUGUUAGUAUAUCUAUGUAAUGUACAAUGCAUUUUCUUUAUUACAACACAUAUUAAUUGAACUUUCUAUAUGCCUGUUGGGUUUGUGGAUAGCUUGCAUUGCAUCUAAUCAUGCCUGUCACAGUAAUGUUACACGGAUGUCCAGUGUUUCCAUAUUCAAAGUGUGAAAAUAAAACUUAUAUGUAAUUUUGUGUAAUCAGCUCUUUCUCCAAAUCAAAGCUGGUGAAGCAGGCAAUUCUUGUUUACCACAAACUAUCACUCAUUUUCUUUCUAUUUCAUCCUUUGAUUUUGCAGUCCUCACAAUACUUUCAGAAAGAAUACUACAUAUAUUCUAUGAUGAGAAAUAUCUCACCUUAGAGACAGUUUAGUUCCUCCCCACCAGAACCACAAUAAAGCACUACUAAGUCUUGUUUCUCUAUGGUACUAAGUACAUGCUAACACCAAGGCCAGUACCAUAACCCACUGGAAAUGUAGUAAUACUGAAAUUUCCUGUUGAGAUCCUCUCUGGUAUUAGAGCUUUCACAGACUCCACAGAAUUAAAAAAUGAUAUGAUUUUUCAGUAGAGUAAUUCAUACAUAAUAAAGGAGAUGCUAGUAGAAUGCUUGAUAUGUGGGAGAAGAAAAGAACACAUAGCUGAGGAAUUAAUAACUUUACAACUAUAUCUUGUUGGAAAAAUUCUCCUGAAAAAAAGUCCAAAAAAAGUAGGAGUACUGCUACAAGUUGAUAAAUACCAGUGCAUUCUUUGCCAUCGAUCCUACUGUUGGAGAUGACAGUAGCAUAAUGGAGUCAUUAUUUGGUGAAUAAUGAAUUCUGCAAUCUACAUUCUUGAUACACACUUAAAUACACAUAUGCUUAUGUACCGAUAUACAAGACUUUGUAAUACACACCUGAUCCUUCACCUGUAACACACUCUUGAACUUCAAGAACCAGUUGUUUGAUAAAGUACUGGUGAUUCUGAAAGUGUCACACUUUGCCUGUAUAGAACAAUUACCACAUAACAUUUCUAAGAAAAUAGUAGUAUCUUCCUAUGAUUUAACUCACUAAAAUAAAAAUGGCUGAUGUUUACCACUGUUAAUAUAUGAUGAAAGGAAAGUUUGUUUUUACCUGUUUUUUUUUCUUACAAAAGGCUUCUCUGAAAAGCAACUGUCUUCUAUUUCUAUUGUUUUACAAGCUUUAAAUAUAGAUGAAUUAUCUAGAAGCUUAUAUCUGAUCAUCUACCAGGGCUGUUAUACCCCUGAACAGUGUCAGAAACAGCUGUCUUUAUGUUCACUUGUUCUCAGAGAAAGUAAUUUCGUACUUUUAUGAUUAAGAAUGCAGGAUAAAAGAUUUUAAAAUCAAUAUUGACCUUUGUUUUUUCCAACUAUAUGAAAGUAUUUCCCAUGAAACACAAUGUGAUCAUAUUAGUUCAACAAACUUGAAAAUUGUCACAUUUCUUUUAAGUUUAUGGCAGAUAAUUUCUACAGCUUAUUUGGAAAACAAUUUGAAUCCCUGAGAAAAGAAAUAAAUACAAAAAUUAUACAAGCCUGUAAAUCUAUUACAUGAAUAGUAAUUAAAUGUGAUAGAAAACAACCCAACAUAUUAUCCAAUGUGUUAUAAAAUGUAGAUAUGGAAACAGAUAAUACAAUGUUUUAUUAUUCCUCAGAGAAGAUAAGAGGAAACAGAAACAAAUUUAAUUAUUUCAAACACAAGAAGAGUGUAUAAAAUAUAAAAAGAAGAAUAAAAACAGCAAACAAAAAAAACAACCCUCAGUUUCACUACAUAAUGUGGUGGAUGGUGGAUACAGCAAACAUGUCCAGUGUAACUUAUCAGCAGAUAAAGUUGUUUACAAUGUUUUAGACCUAAUUACAUAUUGCAGCGUGUUCUCCCUACACAGGACUUCAAUUUUUAUACAUAGGUAGGCAGAUACUUCAAUGUCUGCAGAGGUGCAAGAUGUGAAUAGGAUUAUCCAUCCUUAAGCGCAGAGAGAGCUGCCCCAGAUAUUUCCUAUAUUGUUUUUUUGCCCACUUCUAGACAUAGAAGAGCCCAUGUAAAGGGCUAUCAAUUCUAGCUGGUAAAAAUCUGAACGAGACUCAAGAAAAGUUUUUGAUGAAUAUGCUCAUUUCCUUAAAAGGAGAUUCCAUCCGUUUAUAUUCUGAUUUAAAGAAACAUAACAGACAUCGCUAUAGUUUAGUCAUAUACUGCAUGACUUUAAAGAUUUAUUGCACAAAUCUUAAGAUCUUGGUUACAUCAUUACGUUUAACUGCAGCACUGCAUAAUAUGUCACAUAGAUUUGCACAGUGCAAGAGAGCAGCUAACAGAGAUGCACUGUUCUUUGGAGAUUUUCAAUUACAAAGUUUAUUUAAUGUUAAUGACUUAAUAUUGCUCCACGUUUGCUAUGCAUCCUCAGAUUUUACAUAUUUUAUUUUGAAUUAAUAACAAAAAUCGUAAACACAAAUACAAAAAAGAGUACUAACAUGAUGAUGAUGAACAAAGAGAUAUCAGUACUGUAAACAAUGUAUCCAGGCAUAUCAAGUUAAAAUUAACAUUUCCAGGAUUAUCAGUAACUCUUCUUAGGAGGCAUAUUAGUCAUGCAUUGUUUUUACUGACUGACUGCCAUCUUUAUCAAGACAUAAAAUAAUAACCCCCUUCUAAAACAAAUACUCUGCAUUCAAAUAUGCAGGUGGCUGCUGCAAGAGUGCCUGUGUUACCAAAAUUAUUUUCCACCAAAACUGUAAUUACACUUCAUAUUGCUUCAAGUUGAUUAUUUUUCUUCAAAGGAGAAGGAUUUUUUCCACUCAUACCAUCAGAGUCAAUAGUGCAUCCUACUGCAUUUAAUAGGUGUUAUUUACUUUUAAGCAGAGCAGUUUCCUUUCUACAGUUAAAUUCUCGAAACACUGGUAGAUAUAUAUAUAUUUUUUCCCCUACAUAUUAACCCAUCUCGACAUACAAUUGAUGUUAUUACAAAACUGCUACAUCAUAGAACCAUACCAUAUGUGGAAUCUAUCUAUGCCUACUAUGCUCACAUUACCUUCUUUCCUAUUUAUAAUAAGUAAAUCUCAUAUGGUGGAAAUGUCCUAUUUUUUAUUCUUAAUGUUUGAAGACAGAAUACAUUGUACAUUUAAGAGCUGAUAAGUACACUUUUUAAAAAUAAAUUUGACUUAAUCUUUAUAGCUAUUUUAGCUUAGAGGAAAAGAACAUACAUUAUUAAAGAGAGGUUCAUUUUAGCUUUUGACUAAAGCUCAAGUCUCCCAAAGGAAUAAACUAUUGGUCGUAUUGGAAGCAAUGCUCAUUUCAUAAUGAAAAGGACAAGGACUUGCACUAAUUUGGUUGAACACCCACUGGACAUUAAAUAAGGUAUUAUAUUUCUUAGACACCUGUUUUAUUAUGAUCUAUAAAGGAUUAAUUAAUGACACAAUAAAUAAGAUCAAAAAUUGUCUUUAAUCAAUCCUUAACAAUUUUGGAAAUCUGGUGUGGUCAAAAAUGUUUAGCAUAUUUCAGAAAGAAAAGUUGUCACAGAAUGACAGAAUGACAGAACCAUAAGGCUUGGAAUGGAUCUCUUGAUAUCACCUAGUCCAACCCCCUGCUAUAGCAGGCUCUGUAAAGUAGGUUACACCCGAGAGCAUCCAGGCCGGGACAUUCACUUUUACACAGAGUGAAAAGUUAAAGAUAAGGACUAUUUCACAUAGCCUAUAGAAACAUUUUUCUUCCUAUCAUUAUAUUUUUGAAUAUUAUUUGUUUUUCACAAUAUUACUUCUGACAGAUCAUUAAGAUAUUCACUAUUCUUUGUGGCACUAAAAUUCAUGAAAUAUAAUAAUUGGUAAGACCUUGAGGACAGAAAUCAAGACAAGAUAUUUUCUGCUUUUACAAGUAACUGUAUGUUAUUCAACACUGAAUGAUGUGUGAGAAUGCCACUGUCAGAUUUGCUAGCAAUAUGCAUCGUUCUCCUUUGUAAUCAAUAUUUUCAAUAGCUGUGGGCUAGCAAGGGACUAGCAGUGUGAGAACACUUAGCUGCUUGUCUUGCUAUGCUUUGACAUUUAACUUCAUUGUAAAAGCUGCCUUCAGAUGUCAUUGAACAAAAGAAAGAUGAUACAGAUCAGUAUUUCAAAUUUGUCUCUUCCUCAUGUUGAUAUUAAUUUUAUCUUUAGGUAAGUCAACUCAUAUUGUCAGUACCAUGACAACUAAAAAUCAGUCAAUACUUAUGUCAAUAAUCAUUUAAUAAUUGUGUUUCAUUUUAAGCAUCAUUUAUAUUUAUAGCUUUACACUAUUGUGCUUUUUCUCAUUUGCAAACAAAUACACUGCUAUUUUUCUUGUAUCAAUUAAAUGGUAUUAGAGGACUCCAGCAUAUUAUGCAUAUAAUAUUUUUAGGGAAUAUAUAUCCUACAAUUCUAAUGAGCUACAGCUGUUCUACUGUUAAUAUUCCUUGCACUCCUUGUAAAACAUACUGCAGCUGAAAAUUUAAUUCCUCAAAAAUAAAAAGAUCUGAAGUUUUUUAUCAUUUAAAACAAUGUUUUCCCUCAGGAUUGUAAGGCAUAUUACUAACAUUUCAGGAACAGAAAGUGCUUUUCAGGACAUUUCUUUAACAUGAGUAAUGUUAUUGUCUCCAAACUACUUACUACUUUAUGCUUUGUUUUUUAACUUUUAUACCAUUGAAAGUGUUAGCUCUUUUUUUUAUAAUAGUAUUGCACCAGUGACAGUUAUUAGUGAUCCAUUUCUUUUUUUCCUCUGUACAAUCUGUAUUUCAUCUAUAUGAUGUUUAUUUCUUUUGCCUAGAUAGGUAAAUGUUUUUUUUUUUAACCUUCAUUAAAAUGUUCUUUUCUUUCUA